rnacentral:rRNA from 1 species
AAUGAACGUUGGCGGCGUGGAUUAGGCAUGCAAGUCGCGCGAUUUCCUUCGGGGAAGAGCGGCGGAAGGGAGAGUAACGCGUAGAUACCUACCCUCGGGACCGGAAUAGCGACGGGAAACUGUCGGUAAUGCCGGAUAACGUCCCUGGACCAAAGGUGUGAAUCCGCCUGAGGAGGGGUCUGCGUCCUAUUAGCUAGUUGGCGGGGUAACGGCCCACCAAGGCGAAGAUGGGUACCGGGCGUGGGAGCGUGACCCGGCUCACUGGGACUGAGACACUGCCCAGACACCUACGGGUGGCUGCAGUCGAGAAUCUUCGGCAAUGAGCGCAAGCUUGACCGAGCGACGCCGCGUGCGGGAUGAAGGCUUUCGGGUUGUAAACCGCUGUCAGUGGGGAGGAAAUUCUUGGGGGUACUCCCCCUUGAUUGACCGAUCCGCAGAGGAAGGACGGGCUAAGUUCGUGCCAGCCGCCGCGGUAACAC